UGUGGGAGCGAGCCUGCGCGCGAUGAGUCAGGCACAUUCAGCAUUGAUGUUGGCUGAGCCACCUAUCGCGAGCGGGCUCGCUCCCACA
rnacentral:misc_RNA from 1 species